AUUGAACGCUGGCGGCAGGCCUAACACAUGCAAGUCGAGCGAGCGGCGGACGGGUGAGUAAUGUCUGGGAAACUGCCUGAUGGAGGGGGAUAACUCCUGGAAACGGUAGCUAAUACCGCAUACCAUCAGAUGUGCCCAGAUGGGAUUAGCUAGUAGGUGGGGUAAUGGCGCACCUAGGCGACGAUCCCUAGCUGGUCUGAGAGGAUGACAAGCCAAACUGGAACUGAGACAAGGGCCAGAAUCCUACGGGGGGCAGCGGUGGGGAAGAUUGCACAAUGGGCGCAAGCCUGAGUGAGCCAUGCCGCGUGUAUGAAGAAGGCCUUAGGGUUGUAAAGUACGUUCAGCGGGGAGGCGUUACCCGAAGAAGAAGCACGGGCUAACGCCGUGCCAGCAGCGGCGGGAAUUC
rnacentral:rRNA from 1 species